UACGGAGGGGGGUUAGCGUUGUUCGGAAUUACUGGGGCGUAAAGCGCGCGUAGGCGGACUAUUAAGUCAGAGGUGAAAAUCCCGGGGGCUCAACCCCCGGAACUGCCUUUGAUACUGGUAGUCUUGAGUUCGAGAGAGGUAAGUGGAAUUCCGAGUGUAGAGGUGAAAUUCGUAGAUAUUCGGAGGAACACCAGUGGCGAAGGCGGCUUACUGGCUCGAUACUGACGCUGAGGUGCGAAAGUGUGGGGGAGCAAAACAGGAUUAGAUACCCCCGUAGUCC
rnacentral:rRNA from 1 species